GUCGGUGACGAUGACGGUGAGGUUCCACCUGUUCCCAUUCCGAACACAGUAGUUAAGCUCACUCGUGCCCAAGAUAGUUGGCUGGAAACGGCUUGUGAAAAUAGGUAGCCGCCGACU
rnacentral:rRNA from 1 species